UACGUAGGGGGCAAGCGUUGUCCGGAUUCAUUGGGCGUAAAGCGCGUGUAGGCGGCCAGGUAGGUCCGUUGUGAAAACUCGAGGCUCAACCUCGAGACGUCGAUGGAAACCAUCUGGCUAGAGUCCGGAAGAGGAGAGUGGAAUUCCUGGUGUAGCGGUGAAAUGCGCAGAUAUCAGGAAGAACACCUAUGGCGAAGGCAGCUCUCUGGGACGGUACUGACGCUGAGACGCGAAAGCGUGGGGAGCGAACAGG
rnacentral:rRNA from 1 species